CAGGGGUUCCUGUCCAACGUUAAUCGGGGCAGGGUGAGUCGACCCCUAAGGCGAGGCCGAAAGGCGUAGUCGAUGGGAAACAGGUUAAUAUUCCUGUACUUGGUGUUACUGCGAAGGGGGGACGGAGAAGGCUAUGUUAGCCGGGCGACGGUUGUCCCGGUUUAAGCAUGUAGGCUGGUUAUCCAGGCAAAUCCGGAUAAUCAAGGCUGAGGUGUGAUGACGAGGCACUACGGUGCUGAAGUAACAAA
rnacentral:rRNA from 1 species